UUAAUUUUUUUAAACAGAUAACAAACUUUUGAUGAAAUAAAAAAAAAGGAGAAGUGAAAUGGAAGAUAUCCUGAAACAAAUAAAUAAUAUUGUUGGUUGUACCCCCUUUGGAUGUGCCGCCAUGCUAUGCGAUCUAUUUGGAUUUCAAAUUUUCAAUUCAAAUCCAUGUCAAUUAAUUUCCGCGAAGUUAACGAGAAAAAUACUCAACAAGGGCAGAUCUGUUUUGAAAAGUUCGCGCUUGCAAGUGCAAUAGAUUCUUUCUAUAGAAAAAAAAACAAAAUUUAACGCAAUUAAAGAAAAAACCCAAAUUGCAGACAGGAUUCUAGAAGAAAUAACAGCAUUAAAGCCAGAUGGUUUUCAUACAAAUGGGAAGGUUGCACAUUACAAAAUGAAUCAAGAUCCUCCGAAAGCUAAAGAAAUGUGUCUCUCUGAAUUCUGCAAAAGCACAUUCAAUGACAAUUCUGGGUUAACCUAGCACCUAAAAAAACAUGCAAUGGAAUUCGCAAACUCCAUAUCAGAAUAUUAUUCAAUUGCAACAAAGUUGGCUACCCCAAAAAUUCUAGCAGCUUUGCGCUUGAUGUCAACCACCGUUUUUGGGAUUCAGAAAUUCGAAGCGUUGCUGGAUCAGGAUACUCUGCAAAUAUUACAGUUACACCUUCGUGAAAUGGAAGUUCGUAAUCCUGGAGCUGUGCCACCAACGGCUGCUCCUUCUCCGGCGCCAUCUACGUCGCAAUGUUCUUUCAUGCCGGUGCAACCAGUUCCAACGACGCCAACCGUUAAACAACAGUCGGGAAAACAGAGUCAACCCAGUUCAACAAAUCGGUAUGCGCCGAUCGCUCAUGCGCAACCUACAAGAAAUAUUAAUGUUGUUCCAACUACUUCUGUUCUCAUGCCAUCCACCGGCUAUGAAUACCAAAAUUCGGUUACGAAUCUUCCCCGGUUCCAAUUGCUCAACCAGCUAUACUGCAUUUACCUAUUGUGCAACCACCUGAAUUGAAAGAAAGUGUCAAUUGUUUUCUCCAAUCUAAUCAAUCAACUCCAACAUCAUCCAUUCCCACCAUAAAUAUUAUUAGUAAUGCUACUAUGAAACAACCAAAAAUUACACAUUUUUUCUCAAACUCAAAUUUGGCAAAAUUUACGUUCCAGCAGUUACCUGGCCAGUUUCGGCAGCCGAAGAAGAAGCUACCAAAUUUACCAACUCGUUCCGAUCCACACUUUUUUGAAGAAGAUGAAGUGAUAUUUCUCCAGCGAACUAACUGAUCGUCAAAGACAAGGAGUAGUUGAGUCGCCCAAACUUACUGGCCAGCGAAGUAUCGACACAGGACUUGCGACAAAGGACUUGCGUUACCGCUCUAGUGCCCAAACCACCACCAAACCAGUGAUGCACAGCGAGCAACCUAGGGUAAAGCCGUUGGAACUUCACCGUGAGCACAAAACCCAACAGGAAGCGCUCAAUUACUCAAAUUUGAACGAGAGGGUGAAUAUACUGGAACGCCAACUUUUCGAAGAAAAACGCUUGCGGUUGGAAUUGGAAGACAAUUUUUGAAGAAAUCCGCUACUACUACAAAACCAAAACAGUAACAUGGAAUUGUUACGCGGUAAAAAUCAAAACAUUAACGAUUUCCUGAAACGAUCAAAGGACUAAUCAGAGUUCCAAUAUAAUCUUACCGAUAGUAAUGACAAUAUACGUUGCCACUGUAAGGGUAACUCAUUUGCUUUUUUUGUAGUCGAAAAAAUUACUGGGUGUGCGCAAAGAGAACAAAAAAAGCUGGAAAAUGUUGCCUGUUCAUCCCUAAUGCGCUGAUGUAAUCUUUUCAAAACGUUUACUACUUUUUUCUUUUUUUUCAAGUUUCAAGUUGAUUUCCAAUAUUGGAUUUCAGAUCUGCUUGUAUUUUUCUUUUUUUUAAAGAAGCUAUUGCUAUGUUUUAGUUUUUAUACAUUAAUUCCAUUUUCUA